GCGUGGCUGAGGGCAGAGGGUGCUGGGCUCCGGGAGAGCCGAUGCCGCGGGAGGGGGGUAGUUGCCGGCUUUACCCCGCCAUGCCCGAGCCUCCGGCAGGGGGGAUUGGGUGCUGCACAGGCAGGGUUGAGACUCUUGGAGACUUGACGUGAUGGUGUCACUGGCAGUGAUAAAUUGCGUGAUGAGGACAGUUGCCUGGUUUGCUCCACCCAGCCUGAGCCUCCAGCAAAUAAGAAUGGGUGCUGCAAAGGCAGGGUUGAGGCUCUUGGAGACCUGAUGUGAUGGUGUAACUGGCAGCGAUGAAUUCUGUGAUGAGGGCAGUCGCCUGGUUUGCUCCACCGUAUCUGCCCCUCUGGCUGAGGAGAAUGGUUGAGAUUUGUCAGAAGUCCUGGGACCUGCUGUGAUUUUGGUGUACUAGCAGAAAGCUGUCUUCUGCUAAUGAUGUCCUUCUCCAUGCUGCUGCCUGUGAUCUCUUGUCCAAGCUACAGCAUUCACAUCACCCUGCAACAGCUCUGGUCUUUUCUCAGAGCUAGCAGGAGUGAUAAAUUGGUGUCCUGACAACUUACAGAGGGUGUUAUAUUUUUCUUUCCCUUGGUAUGAGGCAUUUAACUGUAAUGGAUUCUGGAACUUGCUGCAUGUGUAAUGUAAUUGGAUGCUUUUGUCUGCAAGGGCUGUGUUCACCACCUGACAGCUAAUAUCCUACUACAGUCAUUAAAAGUAAGGAAGCCUCUCCUUGGAGAGCAGUUGUCAUGUAUGGGAGGAUGGCCUUCUGUGUAAGGGGGCAGAGGGGAUUCAUGUUUUGGCUCUUCCCUGUGAUCCAGAAAGCUUUAGUAAUGUAUCGUUGGCAGCCUGUGAAGCGGGGAAGGGCCAUCUUGGAUGCUGCAGCACGGUGUGUGUUUCUGUACUGUUUAGAGCCUAUUUUUAAUAAAAUCUGAAUACUGAGUGAA